rnacentral:rRNA from 1 species
ACUCCUACGGGAGGCAGCAGUGGGGAAUAUUGCGCAAUGGGCGAAAGCCUGACGCAGCAACGCCGCGUGGGUGAAGAAGGUCUUCGGAUCGUAAAGCCCUGUCAGGAGGGACGAAACAAAUGACGGUACCUCCAAAGGAAGCACUGGCUAACUCCGUGCCAGCAGCCGCGGUAAUACGGGGAGUGCAAACGUUGUUCGGAAUCAUUGGGCGUAAAGCGCGCGUAGGCGGUCUGUCAGGUCGGGUGUGAAAUCCCAGGGCUCAACCCUGGACGUGCGCUCGAAACCGGCAGACUUGAGUCUCUGAGGGAGAAGUGGAAUUCCAGGUGUAGGGGUGAAAUCCGUAGAUAUCUGGAGGAACACCGGUGGCGAAGGCGACUUCUUGGCAGAGCACUGACGCUGAGGCGCGAAAGCGUGGGGAGCAAACAGGAUUAGAUACCCUGGUAGUC